rnacentral:rRNA from 1 species
GACGAACGCUGGCGGCGUGCUUAACACAUGCAAGUCGAACGGAAAGGCCCUGCUUUUGUGGGGCGCUCGAGUGGCGAACGGGUGAGUAACACGUGAGUAACCUGCCCUUGACUUUGGGAUAACUUCAGGAAACUGGGGCUAAUACCGGAUAGGAGCUCCUGCUGCAUGGUGGGGGUUGGAAAGUUUCGGCGGUUGGGGAUGGACUCGCGGCUUAUCAGCUUGUUGGUGGGGUAGUGGCUUACCAAGGCUUUGACGGGUAGCCGGCCUGAGAGGGUGACCGGCCACAUUGGGACUGAGAUACGGCCCAGACUCCUACGGGAGGCAGCAGUGGGGAAUAUUGCACAAUGGGCGGAAGCCUGAUGCAGCAACGCCGCGUGCGGGAUGACGGCCUUCGGGUUGUAAACCGCUUUCGCCUGUGACGAAGCGUGAGUGACGGUAAUGGGUAAAGAAGCACCGGCUAACUACGUGCCAGCAGCCGCGGUGAUACGUAGGGUGCGGGCGUUGUCCGGAUUUAUUGGGCGUAAAGGGCUCGUAGGUGGUUGAUCGCGUCGGAAGUGUAAUCUUGGGGCUUAACCCUGAGCGUGCUUUCGAUACGGGUUGACUUGAGGAAGGUAGGGGAGAAUGGAAUUCCUGGUGGAGCGGUGGAAUGCGCAGAUAUCAGGAGGAACACCAGUGGCGAAGGCGGUUCUCUGGGCCUUUCCUGACGCUGAGGAGCGAAAGCGUGGGGAGCGAACAGGCUUAGAUACCCUGGUAGUCCACGCUGUAAACGGUGGGUACUAGGUGUGGGGUCCAUUCCACGGGUUCCGUGCCGUAGCUAACGCUUUAAGUACCCCGCCUGGGGAGUACGGCCGCAAGGCUAAAACUCAAAGGAAUUGACGGGGCCCCGCACGAGCGGCGGAGCAUGCGGAUUAAUUCGAUGCAACGCGUAGAACCUUACCUGGGUUUGACAUGGAUCGGGAGCGCUCAGAGAUGGGUGUGCCUCUUUUGGGGUCGGUUCACAGGUGGUGCAUGGCUGUCGUCAGCUCGUGUCGUGAGAUGUUGGGUUAAGUCCCGCAACGAGCGCAACCCUUGUUCACUGUUGCCAGCACGUUAUGGUGGGGACUCAGUGGAGACCGCCGGGGUCAACUCGGAGGAAGGUGGGGAUGACGUCAAGUCAUCAUGCCCCUUAUGUCCAGGGCUUCACGCAUGCUACAAUGGCUGGUACAGAGAGUGGCGAGCCUGUGAGGGUGAGCGAAUCUCGGAAAGCCGGUCUCAGUUCGGAUUGGGGUCUGCAACUCGACCUCAUGAAGUCGGAGUCGCUAGUAAUCGCAGAUCAGCAACGCUGCGGUGAAUACGUUCCCGGG